GCACUAGCAGCCCUUGAUGACCAACCUGAGACAAUGAGCCCAGAACUGCUUUGAAUACACCAAUUGCUGUGGGGCGGCUCGAGGAAGAGAAGACACCAGUGCCUCAGAAACUGCUCGGUCAGACGGUGAUAGCGAGCCACGCAUUCACAGGGCCACUGCUGCUCACAGAAGCAGUGAGGAUGAUGCCAGGAUGAUGUCUGCCUCGCGCCUGGCUGGGACUCUGAUCCCAGCCAUGGCCUUCCUCUCCUGCGUGAGACCAGAAAGCUGGGAGCCCUGCGUGGAGACUUGGCCCUAAACCACACAGAAGAGCUGGCAUGAAACCCAGAGCUUUCAGACUCCGGAGCCUCAGCCCUUCACCCCGAUUCCAUUGCUUCUUGCUAAAUGCUGCCGUUUUAUCACGGAGGUGGUUCCUAAUAUUACUUAUCAAUGCAUGGAGCUGAAUUUCUACAAAAUCCCCGACAACCUCCCCUUCUCAACCAAGAACCUGGACCUGAGCUUUAAUCCCCUGAGGCAUUUAGGCAGCUAUAGCUUCUUCAGUUUCCCAGAACUGCAGGUGCUGGAUUUAUCCAGAUGCCACUGCUACUCCUUCACUUGCUCAUUCUGCAAAAGUUUGUAGAUCUUCUGCAAGGAGAACGGCAUUGUUAACUACCUACAGGAAGUGGUAAGCCAGAUAUGACCCUUGUACUUAUACAUCUUCCAUUCUAGUGAAUCUUGUUGGGAUAUUAUGUUGACUUAUUUCUGUUCCUUAGUGAUCAACUCCUCCCAAUUUCAUACAGUAUUACUUUACAUACAGUUUUAAAUCCUUCAGUCUCAGGUGUCCUUUGCCUCUCCAACCUUAUCUUCUUCACAAUCUAUUGCGCUUUCUGCGAUCAAUCUUGACAUAUAACACUCAAUGCCAAAUCAAAUUUCUGUUUUUUUAAAGCCAAGAACAUGUUAUGCUUUUUUGAUACUCAUGGAAUUACUGUAUUAUCUAUCUGGAAUGUUCUGCUCAAUUCAUUUUUGCCACUAUCAGAAGUGAUUACAAUGGUAAUAGCUCUAUUCUGAGGGAUUUCUCUCUGAGAAGCACAAUGCUAAGUACUAUAUAUGGGCAUACUUAUAUACACCCACACAUAAUUUCAUCUCAUGUAAUUCUUAAUAGACCAUUUUAUUUAUGAGAACAUGUAAAAUUCAGGAAAAUGGGAAAUUAAUUAACUUACCCAAGGUCAUGCAGAUAGCCAGUGACAGAAUAUCAUUCCAAACCCUAUUUGACUCCAAAGUCCAUGUGUUUAACUGCUCUGCUCUAUAACAAGUGGGCUUGUAUCAUCGUUCAAGGCUUAAUCCAAGGACACUUCAUUUCUGAAAUCUUUUUUGACUUGCCUAGGCAAAGACAGCAGUGUUUUUCCUUUACAUUUACCUUACAUAUAUUUCUAUGGUGGUGUAUUUUGCAUGUAUCUUAUAUAAACAUCUUCACUAGUUAUUUGUACAGAAGUCUGUAUCUGCUGUUGGCUUGCUUCAGGUUACUGAUUCAGAGCUAUUCUUCCCCACAUUCCCUGGGCCUAGCACAGUAACCAGCCAAUGAUGGGUUUCCAAUAAGUGAAUGAUGAAUGAAUGACCUGGCUGAAGCAGCACUUCCUGUUUGGAGCAGAGUGCCAAUAAGGGAGAGCAAAGGGAAAUAAGUGGGAGAGGUGGGUGGCAGCCGUUGAUGAAGGCUCUGCCCACCAGGUCAUCAUGCAUGAAUUUGACCUGAUUUGAGAAAAACCUGAUCAAAAAUUGCUUGCAAUAGUGGAGGCAAAACACAAACACAAAAACAAAAACUCUGCUCAGUUCAGUUUACAUUUUUCAUCCAGUUGUUUUGGCAUUGCACUGACACUUGAGCUAUAGGUCGGA
rnacentral:lncRNA from 1 species